CCUCCACUGGUGUCAGAUGGAGAAGAUGAUUUACAAACUGAGAAGGAAAACAAGAAUUUUCCUCUUAAAACAAAAGAUGAGUUACUCCUUAAUGAACUACCUUCUGUUGAAGAACUCACUAUUAUUCUGCCUGAAGAUAUUGAAUUAAAGCCUUUUGGGAUGGUUUCAAGUAUUAUUGAGCAAUUAGAUAUUUGAGAUAUUUGGACCUGUUGCACAUCCAUUUUAUGUGUUACGGUUUAAUUCUUCAGAGCACAUUGAGAGUAAAGGUAUUAAAAUAAAGGACACUAUGUAUUUUGCUCCAUCAAUGAAAGACUUCACCCAAUACAUAUUCACAGAAAAACUUAAACAGGAUAGGGGAUCAGAUGCAUCAUGGAAGAAUGAUCAAGAACCACCACCGGAAGCCUUAGAUUUCAGUGAUGAUGAAAAGGAAAAAGAAGCCAAGCAGAGGAAAAAAUCUCAGAUUCAAGGCCGGAAAAAAUUCAAGUCUGAAUCUAAUGAAUCAAGUGAAAAUUUUUCAGAAGUACAUCAGAAUUGGAAUGUUCAUACUUCUGUUACAGAGCAUUCAAAAGGAUAUCGUAACAGAGAAUUCACACGAGGAUUUUCCCGGGGUAGAUAUCCUCGACCUUGCCAUGGCACACCUCCAUCGCCACGGUUUUAUAACUCAGAGCAUAUGGUGUUUCAGGAGCCUUCAGGAUUUCUACCUCAGAGACAAGAUAAUCCUAUCAUGCCACAGUAUCCCUUUCCUCCUCCAGUGUUUGAUGUGCACAAUUUUUCACUCCCUCCUCCUCUACCACCACUUCCUCCACCUCCACCACCUGCAUCUGUAAACCUGGGUUGGGCUGCACCUAACAUGGCACCUCAUCCAUUAAUUCCCUUACCAUACUCCAUACCCCCACCCCCUCCACCACUGCCUCCACCCCCCUCUUCUGGAGAUAACAGUUCUUCUCAUUUUGGAUCCUACUACUAG
rnacentral:lncRNA from 12 species